CAGGAUUUGAGCUGUGGUCAACCAUGCGGGAUCUGGCUCUCUUAACCACUAAGCUCUUGGACUAGCUCUGAAUUCCUUCCUUGUUAAGGAUAAAUCUGCCUCUGAGUAGGCACCUCUACCUACUCAUCCUCCAUUGCUUGGGUCCCCAGGUCAAAGCUGCUGUCUCUGAGAAGUAAAGAAUGGUAAGUAAUAUUUAGAUAAUACUCAAAAUUCACAGAAACGCCAGAUCUUACCUCCAGUAAGGAUUUAUUGUUUUAAAAAAUAAUUGGUAUUUAAAUUGUAGAAUACAAGCAAAUCACUUCUUUCUCUAACAAUUUGAAAUAUAGGGGUUUAAAUGUUAUAUACUUUUGUCAAAAUAGUAAUUAACCAUAGAUGACAGAUGCUGCUCCCUACUCAAUGGAGGGUCUCAAAUUUUACUCUGCAUCUCAUUGGGAAGGAAAUAUAAUUUUUUAAAAUAGAAUUAACUUGGGAAAAGGCAUCAGUGCUGCAACUCUUAGCACCAAAUGUUUUUUCUUGGAGCACCAAAUGCUUUAAGGAAAACAUUCCAAGUAUCAAAGUUUUCAGAUAGAUAAAUAUUUAUGGAUCAAAUCCAUAAAGAACAGACAUUGUUAUGAAAUAUAUAUAGAUGCCUUCAAAACUUUCUUUCUAGGCAGAGUAGACACAUAAGUUAGGAGUCAUUUCCCACUUAAUUGUUUUUGCAACCUUAUGCAACACAAAUGGAUUAUGGAAGACUUAUUCAUUUAUACACAGAACCUAGAUCUUGACUGACAUCAUGUCCAGAAAAUUAAACAGGAGCUAUUUCUUUCUUUAAAAAAAUAAAACACCAUUAAAUUUAUAGAAAUGGCUUUAUUCUAACCUAGUUUUCUGGUUGAAAUGUAUGCAGACUUUUUAUCUCAUCCUUUGGUAAGGAAACUGUACCCCUUACAUUCUUCUCAUUUGCUAGUUAAUAUAAUCAGAGAAAAGCAUAAUGUAGAUCUGGUUCAUAUCUUUAAGGACAAUAAAAUUCCACCUAUCUUUGAACUUUCUAAAUGGUGUGUUUUUAGACUACAUAUAGAUAACUGCCUCUCCUUCAUUGUAUUUGCAUUACAACGUACAGAAAGCAAUUUUGCCAUUUAGAGAUUUAUUUACAUUGCUCAUGUGGCAAAAUGUAGGUAUGCUAUAUGAUGCUAGAGAAAUUUCAAGAAACUGCCAAAGACAUAGUUUCUGUAGUAUCCUUGAUGCUCUUAAAAGACCAUUAAAGGGUGUGCAUUGAUCAGAAAUGAGGUGUCCAUUUGAGAAAGUAGCAGAAAGUCCUGUUCCAGAGGUAAGUGAGAAUAAAGGUCUAUAAAAAACUCAUUGCAAAGAGAGUUGGGUGUGUUAUUUCAGACUCCCAAGUUACAUUUUCACACAAAGGUACCACCAAUAGUAUCAUCUAUGAACAUGAAGGACAUUUUGGAACCGAAUACAAUUCUGUCCCUGAAACUAACCAGCACAACUGUAUAUUCAACCAAAGAAGACACGUGAGGUGGAAGAAAAUGGUAGCCCAGGCACAGGUAAAAAUUUUAUUUAUGAAUAUGUGAACACAUGACUUUGGAUCCAGCCAGCCAGUGACAUAAAUAAACUUGAGCAAAAGAUUCAAGCUAGAGGAUA